GGGCUCUAGGCAUGCCAGCUUCAGUAGUUGUGGCGCACUGGGCUUAGCUGCUCCACGGACUGUGGGAUCUUCCCAGACCAGGGAUCGAACCUGUGUCCCCUGCAUCGGCAGGCGGAUUCUUAACCACUGCACCACCAGGGAAGUCCCAUAUUGUGUUUUUUAUACACUGCUCCCCCCACCAACACAUACACACAUGGUGGAGUACUGUGUGAGAUAGGGUGGGUGGAGAACCACUGCCCUGGUCUGAUGGAAAUACCUCUUCUCCAUAUUCCCAGGCUUCUUCCACUCACCUGGAGCAUUAGCCUGUGGCCCUGCACAGCAGCAACUGAUUUCCAUAUCUGCCUCCUCCACUGAAUUAUAAGCACCUUCAUGCAGCGGCUGACUGACCAUUGAUUUAACUCUGUGUCCAUAACACCUAGCAUGGGAGCUGCCAUACAAAUAAUAACGUUUCAUGGCGGAUAAAUUGGAAAAUUCCAAAAUUCCGAUAAAAAUCGCCCAUAAUAUAACGUAACAUCCAGAGACAACUACUGUUUGAAUUCUAGAAAACAUCCUUCUCUGCUUUUCUUCUCUGCCUGGGAUACAUAUCUACAAGGAUGUCCACAGUAUCAAAAACAAAUUCUGGAUAUCACCUGCGAAACAAGCAUACCUACUCAAACGACCAGAUUCAAAAAUUAUAUCUUCUAGAGAUCAAAAAAUAUUCAAGGGAACAAUGGAGACACAGGUUCGAGCCCUGGUCUGGGAAGAUCCCACGUGAUGCGGAGCAACUAAGCCCGUGUGCCACGACUCCUGAGCCCACGUGCCACAACUACUGAAGCCCGUGAACCUAGAGCCCGUGCUCUGCAACAAGAGAAGCCACCACAAUAAGCAUGCGCACCUCAACGAAGAGUAGCCCACACUCUCCACAACUAGAGAAGGCCCGCGCGCACCAAUGAAGACCCAAUGCAGCCAGAAAUAAAUAAAAUUAUAAUAGUUCUCCCUGGGGAAGGGGUCCCCAACCCCCAGGCCACGGACCAGUACCUGGUAGGAACUCGGCGGCACAGCGGGAGGUGAGCGGCAGGUGAGCGAGCAAAGCUUCAUCUGUACUUACAUCUUCAUUGCUCGUACUACCACCUGAGCUCCGCCUCCUGUCAGCAUUAUGAAUGGCAGAGGGGUGCUCUGUGAGAUGCAAAGGAAGAUUUCAGGAGAGAAAAGCAAUAGGAAUAUAAAAAAGUGAAACCAAGAAGACUAAAUAAAAUCAUGUGAGGCAGGCAUUCAUAAACGAAAGCAAAACAGAAUUGCUGGCAUUCCUGAAGUAGGAGCAAAUCAAUGCCUCCCAAAGGCCAGACCACGACGGCUGUGAGCAGGACUCAGAUGUUACCUGGCUGGCUGCUUAACAGGCUUGCGGCAUGCAUCCUACAGGAAUCGCACUCUUGUGUAAAUGACUCAUUAACUUUCGUGAGUCCAGUUAGCGGGUCAAAAUUUAUGGUUGCUACAGAUACUCUGAUUAACGUGCAUUCCCCCCUGGCUCUGAGUGUGGCAAUACAUGGUCUUUCACAAUUUUAUGCUGCAUGAAAAGAUGGGUGUUUUCUUCUCCUCAGAAAAGUCAUCAGUGAGGAAAAUCAGUAUUUCAUCUGGAUUUCUUUUAUGAUGGCCUUUGUUUCCACGUUUCAGCAUCUCAUGUAAUUAGGUAAAAGUGGCAUUCAUCCAAUUUCGGUCACAUGCUCAAAGCUCCCUAGGCUAAUUUAUGUUCUUUCCCUAGCAUUGCAAGGUCCCCAUGUCAGGAUGCCAACUUCACAGCAUGGGAGUUUGACACGUCUAUGUAAACGUGCGUGGAAAAUUCACCACCAAACACAAGUGGAUUCAGAAAACGACAAAAAGUUCAAAUCGCCAUUCCUCUGAAAAUAUCAGUUCUUCUGUGGCACUAUCUGUUAAAGUGUUUGUCAGAAAACAAGUAAGAUAACACAAGAUGCAAAUUUAUCCUUAAGUAUAAAGACAGGGAAGGAAAUUCCUUGAUGGCCAUAUUUAGAAAUGGCUUAUGUAAGAGCAGGUACACAAAUAUUUCUGAGCUCCAUAGCCCAACAAGCAGUAAUCAAGGGGAAUUUAACAGUUCCAGGGUAUUUUUAGGUUCAGUGUUAGAUUCUAAUAAUGUCAGGGUAUCAAUCAGUUGUGUGUAAUAGUGUAUGUGUGCGAAUGAAAGGAAAAGAAAAACAGAUGUUCUCGUACAUGUGGAUGGAUCUUAGCUUAGCCUUGAGAUGAGUUACCAGCUGUUCUUCUAGGUAAGAAAUGAACUGCUUGUAAAUCUCUCUAAUUAACCAUUAAUAGAUUUGGAUUCUGUGAAUUAAGCCAUUGUGCUCUUUCCUAGUUAACUAGCAACACUGUAGAUACAAAUAUAUAAUGUCUCUCCUUCUGCUGAAUUACCAUAUUGAAGUUAGUGAAGAAACUGAGUCUUAGCCUAGGAAACCUUACCUGUUCAAUUCCAAUACUAAGCCUAUUAAACAUUUUUAAGGAGAAAAGGAAUCUUUGAGAAAAUCAUUAUAAGGCAUGAGACAAAUUUAUAGAGUUCAGAGAGAGAACUACCAUGUAUGGCAGUAAAGCCAAAAGAAUUUUUAGCAACAAAAACACACACUGGAGGGCCAGGAAAAGAGUUCAAAAGAUUUUUACAUAAAACGAUCAGAUAUGGGCAAACAAAUUUAUGUACCAAGAGGUUCAUCAUGGUAUUUUUGUAUAAUUACAAAA